rnacentral:rRNA from 2 species
GUGCCUAAUUCAUGCAAGUCGAGCGAACUGAUUAGAAGCUUGCUUCUAUGACGUUAGCGGCGGACGGGUGAGUAACACGUGGGCAACCUGCCUGUAAGACUGGGAUAACUUCGGGAAACCGAAGCUAAUACCGGAUAGGAUCUUCUCCUUCAUGGGAGAUGAUUGAAAGAUGGUUUCGGCUAUCACUUACAGAUGGGCCCGCGGUGCAUUAGCUAGUUGGUGAGGUAACGGCUCACCAAGGCAACGAUGCAUAGCCGACCUGAGAGGGUGAUCGGCCACACUGGGACUGAGACACGGCCCAGACUCCUACGGGAGGCAGCAGUAGGGAAUCUUCCGCAAUGGACGAAAGUCUGACGGAGCAACGCCGCGUGAGUGAUGAAGGCUUUCGGGUCGUAAAACUCUGUUGUUAGGGAAGAACAAGUACGAGAGUAACUGCUCGUACCUUGACGGUACCUAACCAGAAAGCCACGGCUAACUACGUGCCAGCAGCCGCGGUAAUACGUAGGUGGCAAGCGUUAUCCGGAAUUAUUGGGCGUAAAGCGCGCGCAGGCGGUUUCUUAAGUCUGAUGUGAAAGCCCACGGCUCAACCGUGGAGGGUCAUUGGAAACUGGGGAACUUGAGUGCAGAAGAGAAAAGCGGAAUUCCACGUGUAGCGGUGAAAUGCGUAGAGAUGUGGAGGAACACCAGUGGCGAAGGCGGCUUUUUGGUCUGUAACUGACGCUGAGGCGCGAAAGCGUGGGGAGCAAACAGGAUUAGAUACCCUGGUAGUCCACCCCGUAAACGAUGAGUGCUAAGUGUUAGAGGGUUUCCGCCCUUUAGUGCUGCAGCUAACGCAUUAAGCACUCCGCCUGGGGAGUACGGUCGCAAGACUGAAACUCAAAGGAAUUGACGGGGGCCCGCCAAGCGGGGAGCAUGUGGUUUAAUUCGAAGCAACCCGAA